rnacentral:rRNA from 1 species
AAGAAUAAGCACCGGCUAACUACGUGCCAGCAGCCCGCGGUAAUACGUAGGGUGCGAGCGUUAAUCGGAAUUACUGGGCGUAAAGCGUGCGCAGGCGGUUGUGCAAGACAGAUGUGAAAUCCCCGGGCUCAACCUGGGAACUGCAUUUGUGACUGCACGGCUAGAGUGUGUCAGAGGGGGGUAGAAUUCCACGUGUAGCAGUGAAAUGCGUAGAUAUGUGGAGGAACACCGAUGGCGAAGGCAGCCCCCUGGGAUAACACUGACGCUCAUGCACGAAAGCGUGGGGAGCAAACAGGAUUAGAUACCUUGGUAGUCCACGCCCUAAACGAUGUCAACUAGUUGUCGGGUCUUAAUUGACUUGGUAACGCAGCUAACGCGUGAAGUUGACCGCCUGGGGAGUACGGUCGCAAGAUUAAAACUCAAAGGAAUUGACGGGGACCCGCACAAGCGGUGGAUGAUGUGGAUUAAUUCGAUGCAACGCGAAAAACCUUACCUACCCUUGACAUGGUCGGAAUCCUGAAGAGAUUUGGGAGUGCUCGAAAGAGAACCGGCGCACAGGUGCUGCAUGGCUGUCGUCAGCUCGUGUCGUGAGAUGUUGGGUUAAGUCCCGCAACGAGCGCAACCCUUGUCAUUAGUUGCUACGAAAGGGCACUCUAAUGAGACUGCCGGUGACAAACCGGAGGAAGGUGGGGAUGACGUCAAGUCCUCAUGGCCCUUAUGGGUAGGGCUUCACACGUCAUACAAUGGUACAUACAGAGGGCUGCCAACCCGCGAGGGGGAGCUAAUCCCAGAAAGUGUAUCGUAGUCCGGAUUGGAGUCUGCAACUCGACUCCAUGAAGUUGGAAUCGCUAGUAAUCGCGGAUCAGCAUGUCGCGGUGAAUACGUUCCCGGGUCUUGUACACACCGCCCGUCACACCAUGGGAGCGGGUUUUACCAGAAGUGGGUAGCCUAACCGCAAGGAGGGCGCUACCACG